rnacentral:lncRNA from 1 species
AAAUAUACAAAGAUUACGUAUCAUUUCAUUGAUAUGAGUGAAACAACAAAAUUUGGCAAUGCACAGAGCCGCCGACACGAACCUGCUUGGUGCGCAAUCACAAGAGCAGAACAGAGAAGUGGGUUGCUCAGCCCACAACAUCACCGGCAGGAUCACAUCCUAAAUGUAUUGUAUUUUCUAGAUCUAUAUUAGUACCUACAAAACCUACAUACUCCCUUCGUCCUGAAAUUCAUGUACAGUGUACGUUUUGCAAAAAACACCUCACAAUUUUAAAACAGUAGCAAGCACGUCCUUGACUCCUUCUGCUUCCUCUGUCCGCCGCCCGUGCGUCGCCAGGGGCCAGGGGCCGGCGCCGCGGGAUUCCGCCGCCGUGCUGGAGAUUCCUGCACUCACGGCCCACCCGCAACCACGCACCGCCGCCCACCCGCCACCAGCUGCCCGCGGAUUCCGCCGCCCAACGCCGCGACCACCAGGCGAGCCGGUCCUCGAUCCGUCGCGACCACCUGCCGGCGACCACCUGUGUGAUAACGCCGCCCACCUGCGCGACCAGCCACUGCGGCGCCGCCCACCUCGACCUGCACCGCUGCCAACCCGUCUCUGCUACUUUGAGACUCCGAUCGCCGGCCCCGUCUCUGCUGCUGGGAGAUUCCGAUCGCCAGCCCAGUCUCUCCUUCCCCUCCGACUCCUUCCU